rnacentral:rRNA from 1 species
CGGGAUAACCCGGAGAAAUCCGGCCUAAUACCGCAUGUGGCCGAGGGAAGGCAUCUUCUUUCGGCCAAAGGAGGCGACUCCGGAGACGGAUGGGCAUGCGUGACAUUAGCUUGUUGGCGGGGUAACGGCCCACCAAGGCGACGAUGUCUAGGGGUUCUGAGAGGAAGGUCCCCCACACUGGUACUGAGACACGGACCAGACUCCUACGGGAGGCAGCAGUGAGGAAUAUUGGUCAAUGGGCGAGAGCCUGAACCAGCCAAGUCGCGUGAAGGAUGACGGCCCUACGGGUUGUAAACUUCUUUUGUCAGGGAGCAAUUGGGUCCACGUGUGGGCUUAGCGAGAGUACCUGAAGAAAAAGCAUCGGCUAACUCCGUGCCAGCAGCCGCGGUAAUACGGAGGAUGCGAGCGUUAUCCGGAUUUAUUGGGUUUAAAGGGUGCGUAGGCGGAAUAUCAAGUCAGCGGUAAAAAUUCGGGGCUCAACCCCGUCGUGCCGUUGAAACUGAUGUUCUUGAGUGGGCGAGAAGUAUGCGGAAUGCGUGGUGUAGCGGUGAAAUGCAUAGAUAUCACACAGAACUCCGAUUGCGAAGGCAGCAUACCGGCGCCCAACUGACGCUGAAGCACGAAAGCGUGGGUAUCGAACAGGAUUAGAUACCCUGGUAGUCCACGCAGUAAACG